GAGGACGACCAGCCACACCGGAACUGAGACACGGUCCGGACUCCUACGGGAGGCAGCAGUGGGGAAUAUUGGACAAUGGGGGAAACCCUGAUCCAGCGACGCCGCGUGUGUGAAGAAGGCCUGCGGGUUGUAAAGCACUUUUAGUGGGGACAAAAAGCCACGGAUUAAUACUCUGUGGUCUUGAUUUAACCCAAAGAAAAAGCACCGGCUAACUCUGUGCCAGCAGCCGCGGUAAUACAGAGGGUGCGAGCGUUAAUCGGAAUUACUGGGCGUAAAGCGCGCGUAGACGGUUUUGUAAGUCAGAUGUGAAAUCCCUGGGCUCAACCUGGGAACUGCAUUUGAAACUGCAUGGCUAGAGUAUCGAAGAGGGAAGUGGAAUUUCCGGUGUAGCGGUGAAAUGCGUAGAUAUCGGAAGGAACACCAGUGGCGAAAGCGACUUCCUGGUCGAAUACUGACGUUCAUGUGCGAAAGCGUGGGGAGCAAACAGGAUUAGAUACCCUGGUAGUCCACGCCAUAAACGAUGACAACUAGAUGUUGGGAGGGUCUGCCUCUCGGUGUCGCAGCUAACGCGUUAAGUUGUCCGCCUGGGGAGUACGGCCGCAAGGUGAAACUCAAAGGAAUGACGAAGACGAUUCGUAGCAA
rnacentral:rRNA from 1 species